UGAAUACGAGAUGCUACGGCAUUGAAGCAGUCUAUGUCAGACUUCCAAGAAAAGCUCGCAAUGUCAGAAACAAGAAAUGCCUGUACCAUAACCGACACAGGUGGGUAGGUAGAGUAUACUAAGGGGCGCGAGAUAACUCUCUCUAAGGAACUCGGCAAAAUGACUCCGUAACUUCGGGAGAAGGAGUGCCUUAUUUUAUAAGGUUGCAAUAACAAGAUCCAAGCAACUGUUUACCAAAAACACAGGUCUCCGCUAAGUCGAAAGACGAUGUAUGGGGGCUGACGCCUGCCCAGUGCCAGAAGGUUAAAGAAGUUGGUUAGCCUAGCGAAGCUGAUGACUGAAGCCCUGGUGAACGGCGGCCGUAACUAUAACGGUCCUAAGGUAGCGAAAUUCCUUGUCGGGUAAGUUCCGACCCGCACGAAAGGCGUAAUGAUUUGGAUACUGUCUCGGAGAGGGGCUCGGUGAAAUAGACUUGUCUGUGAAGAUGCGGACUACCUGCACCUGGACAGAAAGACCCUAUGAAGCUUUACUGUAACUUGAGAUUGAAAUUGGACUUUAUUUGCGCAGCAUAGGUGGGAGACGUUGAAAAUAUUCUUGCGGGAAUGUUGGAGUCAUCAGUGAGAUACCACUCUUGUAAUGUUAGAUUUCUAACUUUGUAUCAUUAUCUGGUCAAAGGACAGUUUCAGGCGGGCAGUUUGACUGGGGCGGUCGCCUCCUAAACGGUAACGGAGGCGCACAAAGGUUUCCUCUGAACGUGUAGAAAUCGUAUCUAGAGUGUAAAGGCAUAAGGAAGCUUGACUGUGAGACCUACAAGUCGAGCAGGGACGAAAGUCGGUCUUAGUGAUCUGACGGUGCUGAGUGGAAAGGCCGUCACUCAACGGAUAAAAGUUACUCUAAGGAUAACAGGCUGAUCUCCCCCAAGAGUUCACAUCGACGGGGAGGUUUGGCACCUGGAUGUCGGCUCAUCGCAUCCUGGGGCGGUAGUACGUCCCAAGGGUUGGGCUGUUCGCCCAUGAAAGCGGUACGCGAGCUGGGUUCAGAACGUCGUGAGACAGUUCGGUCCAUAUCCGGUGUAGGCGUUAGAAUAUUGAUAGGAGCCUUCUUUAGUACGAGAGGACCGAGAAGGACAUACCUCUGGUGUACCAGUUAUCGUGCCAACGGUAAACGCUGGGUAGCUAUGUAUGGAGUGGAUAACCGCUGAAAGCAUCUAAGUGGGAAGCCCACCUCAAGAUAAG
rnacentral:rRNA from 1 species